rnacentral:rRNA from 1 species
GCAGCAGGCACGCAAAUUACCCACUCCCGGCACGGGGAGGUAGUGACAAAAAAUAACGAUACGGGACUCUAUUGAGGCCCCGUAAUCGGAAUGAGUACACUUUAAAUCCUUUAACAAGGAUCCAUUGGAGGGCAAGUCUGGUGCCAGCAGCCGCGGUAAUUCCAGCUCCAAUAGCGUAUAUUAAAGUUGUUGCGGUUAAAAAGCUCGUAGUUGGUUCUGCGUGCCACGCUGUCGGUUCGCCGCCUGUCGGUGUAACUGGCAUGUCGUGGCAUGUCCUGUCGGUGGUAAACAGUAUUCCCAGUGCAGCGUAGGCUAUUAAUAGCCGAAGUUUGUUCUGUGUGAAUGCUGUUUACCGAUUCCUACUUCGGUGCUCUUAAACGAGUGUCGAGGUAGGCCGACACGUUCACUUUGAACAAAUUAGAGUGCUUAAAGCAGGCUGAAAUAUCUGCCUGAAUAGUGGUGCAUGGAAUGAUAAAAUAGGACCUCGGUUCUAUUUUGUUGGUUUUAGGAAUAUGAGGUAAUGAUCAAUGUGGACUGGCGGGGGCAUUCGUAUUGCGACGUUAGAGGUGAAAUUCUUGGAUCGUCGCAAGACGCACUAAAGCGAAAGCAUUUGCCAAGUAUGUCUUAAUUGAUCAAGAACGAAAGUUAGAGGUUCGAAGGCGAUCAGAUACCGCCCUAGUUCUAACCAUAAACGAUGCCAGCCAGCGAUCCGCCGAUGUUCCUUUAAUGACUCGGCGGGGAGCUUCCGCCCGGGAAACCAAAGCUUUUGGGUUCCGGGGGAAGUAUGGUUGCAAAGCUGAAACUUAAAGGAAUUGACGGAAGGGCACCACCAGGAGUGGAGCCUGCGGCUUAAUUUGACUCAACACGGGAAACCUCA